AUGGAGGCCGUCCUGCGACAUCCAUCCCUUUCCCGCCUCAAAGCCCCCAACCCAGCUGCUCACAGAACCCAGUACCUCUCCAUCACCGUCCCUCGCCGUCCCCGCGUCCCCAAGCGCCGCCUCGCCGCCGCCGCGCUGUUCCAGGACCAGACCAACCCAAGAACCGCGGCAACAAGCAAGGGGGGCGAUGAAGAAGACGAGGAGGGGUACGGAGAGGUGGACCGCAUCGUCUCCAGCCGAACCGUCAAGAACGCGGUGUUCGCGGAGGACGGCUCGGCCACCACCGUCACCGCCACGGAAUACCUCGUCGAGUGGAAAGACGGGCACGAGCCGACCUGGAUCCCGUCGGAGGCGAUAGCCGCGGACGUGGUGGCGGAGUACGAGACGCCGUGGUGGGAUGCCGCCAAGAAGGCCGAUGUGGAUGCGCUGGGCGCGCUGCUGGCGGACGAGGCGCUGCGGCGGGACCCGAACGCCGAGGACGCGCAGGGGCGCACGGCGAUGCACUUCGCCGCGGGGCUCGGGUCGGAGGAGUGCCUGCGCUUGCUCGCGGAGGCGGGGGCGGACGUGGGCCACGCGGAGCGCGCCGGCGGAGGGCUGACGCCGCUGCACAUCGCGGCGGGGUACGGCCGGGCGACGGGCGUGCGCGCGCUGCUGGAGCUGGGCGCCGACGCGGAGGGCCCCGACGGGAAGGGCCGGACGCCCCUGGAGCUCGUGCAGGAGGUGCUGGCUGCGACGCCCAAGGGCGUGCCAGCGGCGUUCGAACGGCGCCAAGCGCUCGAGGCGGCGGCGAAGGAGCUGGAGAAGGCCGUGUACGAGUGGGGCGAGGUGGAGAAGGUGGUGGACGGGCGCGGCGAGGGCAAGUGGCGGGAGUACCUGGUGGAGUGGCGCGACGGCGGCGACCGGGAGUGGGUGAAAGCGCCGUGGGUGGCGGAGGACCUGGUGAAGGACUUCGAGGCCGGGCUGGAGUACGGCGUCGCGGAGGCCGUCGUGGACAGGAGGCAGGCGGCGGACGGCGACGGGGACGGCAAGUGGGAGUACCUCGUCAAGUGGGUGGACAUUGAGGAGGCGACGUGGGAGCCCGCGGAGAACGUGGACGCCGAGCUCGUGCAGGAGUUCGAGCGGCAGCAGUCGGGGAACGGUGGCGCCGCACCGCCGGCGGAGACAUUUGCCGGGUGA
rnacentral:rRNA from 1 species